GGAUUAGAUACCCUGGUAGUCCACACUGUAAACGAUGAGGACUCGGUGUACAUCUUUUGAGGUGUGUGCCUGAGCGAAAGCAUUAAGUCCUCCACCUGGGGAGUACGUCGGCAACGAUGAAACUCAAAGGAAUUGACGGGGGUCCGCACAAGCGGUGGAGUAUGUGGUUUAAUUCGAUGAUACGCGAGGAACCUUACCUAGGCUCGAAUGCCUCUGAUGAAUUUAGAAAUAGAUUCGUCUCUUUCGGGAGCAGGGAGCAAGGUGCUGCAUGGUUGUCGUCAGCUCGUGCCG
rnacentral:rRNA from 1 species